UCCCAGGAGGAAGGGACCCAGCGGUGGCCACACCGCAGGCAGUGGCUCCGCUCCUCGCCUGGCGUUCGUGCGAGCGGUCUCGUAGCUCUUUUCUUUUUUUAAUUCGUGUUUUAGAGUCCGAGCACCCGCGGUGCUCACCCCGCAGAGCGCAGGUGGCAGAGUACUUCAGUUUUCCAGCAGCAUUUGCACUUUAAAAAGACGGAACAAGAAAAGUGCAUGGAGUUGAGGAACAAGAAGCUGUGGGGUGUGAACUGCCCUUACCCUCUCUGGCUGAGUAACCAGAAAAGGUCAUGUGGGCAUCAGCGGAGAAGGCAAAAUUCCCUUCACUGUGGGUGGUUGUUAGCCAUUAAAUCCGGACAAAAAUGAUUGAAUCCCGUGUUUUAGACAGAAACUGCACAGAAAUGCUCAAAGAAUGCAAAGAGAAGGCAGGAGAGGAGCAAGAACAGUGCCUUUUGUGACUCGGCUCUAACCCCCUUUAUGUGAGGGUUUAUGUGAAGCAGAGUGUGCAGACAAUGGCUGUGCUGGACAGAGCACCACCAGAAGAUGGAUUUCACACAUAAAGGCACAUGUCUCAAAGUCAAAUUAAUAAAAAUAAAACAACCAGGGCAGCAGUGAUCAGAAGAGAGAAAAGAAAAUGUACACUGCAGAAUUUUUCUGGGAGUUUUGUACAUCCAUCCCAAGUGAUUUUCUGCAGUGGGAUCAUCCUCUGUGGGCCACAAGGUCAGAGCGCUUCCCAGGCAGGCUUUAAGUUAAAGCUGGUUCAAAGGUUUGCAUUUUUAUUUUUUUUUUGGGUGGGUGGAACAGCACAAAUUGACAUUCUGAGAUUUGUUUGCUUUGAAGCAGUGCUACUGAAACACAUCUCACUGUCCCUGUCAGCAGUUCAGGCUCCAUUCAGGGAUAAGUUCUGAAAAACCAGACAAUUUGUGCACUUAAGGGCUGAAAAUGAACUCAUUUGAAGGGUCACAGCUUCGUGCCUGUGAAACGAUGUCUUUGAAGAGUCUGGAACAGGCAAGUCAAGACUAAACUGGGCACAGGUCAAUUUUCCCAUGUUCUUCACAGCCACGGGGAGGAAACCACCCUGUUAAUAUGAAAUCUUCUCUCUCUGAAGAUGUUUUUGAAUGACAGAAUGGAAAAGGCUGUAUUUAACCCCUGUGGCAGGGAAGUUGGUGUGCUGGGAGCUUGGAGCUGGGGCAGAUUCCUCAAUUCCCGCUCCAGUGCACGUCCAAGGGCGUCUGCAGCCUCCCCUUCUUCCCCCCUUCCUAAGAGAUCUCAAACCCAAGCUUUCAUUUCCAUUUGUGACCUUUAGAACAUAUCAAGGUUAUCUCAAGAGAAAAGCAAGACCAGGUCAGUGUUCUUGAGCUGAAUUUUGGGUGUAUCCCUGCACUGAGGCACCUGAAAGGGGUCACUGCUGUCCCACAGAUGUCCACCCACAAGAAUUCCCAAUAUUUUCCAAUAGAACAGCAAAUGACAGCUGUGAGUGGAAAAUGAAAAAACCCUUUUCACUUCUCCACUAUGGCAAGGAGGAUUUUUAGGUCAAAGACCAGGAAAGAGUUGAAGAUCAAAACUAAAGAGCUGAUUUUUCUAUGCUUCUCUUUUGCUCUUGGUUUGAUUUCUGCUGUCUUGGAUGUCAGGAGAGAAUAUUCCUUGAAAAACCAUGUGCCAGGGGGAUGCUUCUGUGGAAGAUCUGCUGUGCAGCUGAGGAUCUUCAAGUUUUGUAAAUAUUGAUGGGAAAGAACAGUGAUUCCCAUUCUCCAGAAGAGAAACUGAAAUGGCUUUGAAAACUGAGAUCUCCAAAUUAUUCACAUUCACCGUGGAAUGAAGGCAAAAGAAACCUUUAUUCUAUUUUUACUCAAAUACCAGCUUUUAACACUAAACUCCUCUUCUUAUCUCACAUUCUGGAUUACUCCUCUCCAAGAUGACAGGAGCAGUGUGAAGAUAAAGCUGUUCAGUUUGUCAAAGAAAAGGCAGCAACAAUGUUGGGUUUGGGCAUUUGCUUACGCUUAUCUCACAAAAAUAAACAUUUCUUUUUCCUGUGCUGGCAUGCUGCAAAGUCUCCACUGUGUGAACAUAGAAUUUCCUAUUAUUUUGCAUUAUACUGUAUUACCUUUCUAGAGUUUCACAGAAAUUCAUAUCUAAAUUCCCCUGAAAUUCCAAGCUGAUGCUGAGGUCAGCACCUGGAAUUCCUGCCAAGAGGUUUAGGAGGUGAAGGUGGUGACAGAGCCCUGAGCCCCAGCUGCUGGUUGUGCCAAUUUGGGUGAAUUCCUGCUGGAUGACACAGCCCAGCUCUGUCCCUGUGCUCAGAGAGGAGGUGCUGGUUAUUAUCAUCACCCUGCCCACAGUUACUGUGUGCUAUUAAUUCCUGCUCUCUACAUUUCCAAAAAAAAUUAGCAGAUAAACUGGAGAUUUUUAAUGUUCUUUACAUUAUUAAGGAGCGCUGCUGUUUCAUGCCAGGGCAGAGGGAAGGUGGAACAACUCUGUAACUCUGGAGUAUUUUCUGCUGAAAGCUCUAAUAGAUAUGGAAAAUGUACCACAAAUCCGUUCUGUCAAACCCCAAAGGGAUGAGUUUGGACUUUAAGCAGUGGAUUGCUGUGAGCUGAGUGCAUUUGGCUCCCACUGUGUCCCUCAGAGCCACAAGAAAAUAUCCAAGCUCUGCCUGCCUGUGCCAUUAGUCAGGCACGAGGCACUGGGGCUGUGCUGAACUCAAUCCCCUCUGGGCCAGGUCCUGGUUCCUCCUGUUCCUGCUUCUGCUGCUUCAUCAGAUAAAACUCCUGAAAUCCUGAUUUCAGCUCAGGCCUCUCCUGGGCAGGGUUUGGUUUCAGGUCUGUGAGUGCUGAGCGCUGCCCCUGGGAAAAUGAGGUUUGUGUUUGCUGCUCUGGGGGGUGAAGCACAAAGGAGCUCCUCUGAUGUGGCCGCGAGGAAAAAUCUUCUUCCAGACUUUUGGGGGUCUGCCAACACCUUCCCCAUCCAAAGGACAGAAAAAAAAACCCCAACAAAACAAAACAAGAGAUAAAAGAAGAAAAAGGAAGAUUUGUACAGGUUAAAAACCACUGAGUAACACCACAGACAGGACAUAUUAAUGAGAGACCUCUGAGAGUUUAGGACCUUCAGAUUCAGGAGCAAAAAUAUCUGUUGUGCUCUCAGGUGAGGGGAUCCAGCAUGGUGAUGGUUGUGCAGGGAACACUGCUCCUCCUUAGCUGGAUUUUUCAAGGAAUACAAAGUGAUUUUUGAAACUGGCACUGCCAGUGCUGCUCUUAGAAAGGGAAUUAUUUCUACCUGCAUGUGUGUGACUGCAGGCCUUGCUUCAGGCAGUGUGGGAGCAGUUUUCAUGGAAGAUGGAGCUCAGAAGUUAAAAAAAGGCAGGAAUGAUGCUGCAGCUUCAGGCCCCAUAGAGAGAUCCCCAGUACAGGCCACAAAAAGCUCUUGGAAAAUGGAGAUGUUCCACCUUUAGGAUUAUUUAUUGAACCAGGUGAAUUGUGGAGUAAGGGAAAUACAGGGUUUAAUAUUUUGGAGACUGGAAUAUUCCCUGUUGAUGUCAAGAAGCCAGGUGAGGAAGGGCAGAGUGGCAGAGGCAGAUUUUCCCUUUCCUUUAAAAUAAAACCAGCACAAGGCACCAGAAGAGAAUGAUGGGAUUAUAAACCCCUGUGUUUAUUCUGUUGCUCAGCAAGAGGAGUAAAGGUCUUUGAGGGUGCUCAGCCCCAGGGGUUUCCCAGCACAGGGGAAUCUCCAGCUCCCAUCUGAGGCACAAACAGCAGCAGGAACUCCCCUGGGCUGCUCAGGGCCAGCUGACACUGCAGAACCUCUGCCAAGCACCAUGGGCAGGGCAGGGGCAGCUUUCCCUCAGCAGGGAUAAAGCUCAUUGGGAUGCAGAAAGAACCUAAUGAAAUUUAAUUACUAAUGUUGGAUAGAUAUGAAUAUAGAAGAGGCUGGAAUGGAGAAAUGGUAAGGUUGCUUUUGACUAACACGAGGUAUUUUGAAAGAAUGAGGGUAGAAAGGCGAGAAAAAUCUGCCUUCAUUCCCUCAGAUUACAAAAUAAUAAAACAAUUAUCUUUGGGGGA